rnacentral:rRNA from 1 species
UACGUAGGGUGCGAGCGUUGUCCGGAAUUAUUGGGGCGUAAAGGGCUCGUAGGCGGUUUGUCGCGUCGGGAGUGAAAACCUUGGGCUUAACUCAGGGCUUGCUUUCGAUACGGGCAGACUAGAGGUAUGCAGGGGAGAACGGAAUUCCUGGUGUAGCGGUGAAAUGCGCAGAUAUCAGGAGGAACACCGGUGGCGAAGGCGGUUCUCUGGGCAUUACCUGACGCUGGAGGAGCGAAAGCUGGGGAGCGAACAGG